UUGUUGCUUUCGAAGUGAAAUAAUUGCGCUCAAUGAACGUUUCAUGUAGUGUUUAUGUGAUAUAUGACUUUGGCCAAUUUUUCCUGAAAUCAUUCUUUACCCCUGUUUUCGAGGUUGUGACCUGGUGGCCAGCUGUUCCAGCUGCUUGGUGUCUCGAUGCCCACCCUGUGGAUCUGGUGGCCAGCUAAUCUAGCGACAUGGACAUCACCAUGGCUUCUGGUGGAAACAACGCGGGGACGGACGGCCGGCCGGGCCAAGUUCCGCUUCAUAGCAUACGAGCGAACGGGAGGAGAUCGAACCGAUCGUGGCGAGUACCCAUCCCUCAAGCGAAGGCGAUGCUGGCGUUUCGUGCAUCGUCACCGGGACCGGUGUGGGAGGCCGCACUGUGACCGACUCUACUAGCUAGGCCACCAAGGCGAUCGCAUCGAAGACGUGUCUUCUUGCGUCUUGAUCUUUCCGUAGCCUUUCGCUCU